rnacentral:ncRNA from 1 species
UAUCUUCAGGGCAGGGUGCAAGUCCCUACCGGUGGUAUAGCCCACGGGCCGAAAGGCAUGAUUCGGUGAAACUCCGAAGCCGACCGUAUAGUCGGGAUGAAAGAAGAUG